rnacentral:rRNA from 1 species
UGGGGAAUAUUGCACAAUGGGCGAAAGCCUGAUGCAGCAACGCCGCGUGAGUGAUGAAGGCCUUCGGGUUGUAAAGCUCUGUCUUUUGGGACGAUAAUGACGGUACCAAAGGAGGAAGCCACGGCUAACUACGUGCCAGCAGCCGCGGUAAUACGUAGGUGGCAAGCGUUGUCCGGAUUUACUGGGCGUAAAGGAUGCGUAGGCGGAUUUUUAAGUGAGAUGUGAAAACCCUAAGCUUAACUUGGGGACUGCAUUUCAUACUGGAAAUCUAGAGUGCGGGAGAGGAGAAUGGAAUUCCUAGUGUAGCGGUGAAAUGCGUAGAGAUUAGGAAGAACACCAGUGGCGAAGGCGAUUCUCUGGACCGUAACUGACGCUGAGGCAUGAAAGCGUGGGUAGCAAACAGGAUUAGAUACCCUGGUAGUCCACACCGUAAACGAUGAGUACUAGGUGUAGGAGGUAUCGACCCCUUCUGUGCCGCAGUUAACACAAUAAGUACUCCGCCUGGGAAGUACGAUCGCAAGAUUAAAAACUUAAAAGGAAUUGACGGGGGUCAUAGCUG